ensembl:lncRNA
UCAUAGGUAUAUACAUUUCCUAAAAUGACUGUUUUUGGACCAUAUUUCAACUUCAUCCUUGAACUGCAAGCAGUAGGGCUAUGUACCUUUAACUUUAUGUACCUAUAAACACAUGUGGAAUUACCAUCUCAAUCUCACUUUUGCUAUUAUAGAAUAGAAUUAAAGAAUCAUUUAAGUUAGAAAAGACCAUCCAGGACCAUGAAGUCCAACAAUCAAUCUAACCUACCAAGUCCCAUCACUAAACCACAUCUGUUAAUGUCAUGUCCACACAUCUCAUAAUACCUCUAGGGAUAGCAACAAUGUCACCUUUCUGGGAAAUGUUCUGUUUCUAAUGCUUGAUCACUCUUUCUAUGAAGAAAUUCUUCCUGAUGUCCAAUCUAAAUGUCCACUGGUGAAACUCAAGGCUGCUAUCAUGUGUCCUACCUCUCGCUAUCUGAGAAAAGUGAUCAAUACCCUCUUCACCACAACCUCCUUUCAGGUAACUGUAGAAAGUAAUGAGAUCUCUCCUCAGCCUCACCUUCUCCAGACUAAACAAGCCCAAUUCCUGCAACAUCUCCUCAUAAUUCUUGCUUCCUAAUCUUUCACCAGCGUUGUUGCUCUUCUCUGCACACACUCAAGCAACUCAAUAUCAUUUUUGUAGUGAGAGGCCCAAAACUGAACACAAUAUUCCAAGUGCCUACCUUGUCUGAUCUGAUGUCUUUGCUAAAGUCUUGUCCUUGAAGCUCAGACUCCACCAAUUAUACAUCACAGUUUAUACUUACAUGUCAUUGUCUCUACAUUACAGAGCACUCUCUUUUCUUAUCAUCUUCACUCCCAAACAUGAUCUACACUAUUUCCUCUCAGAUGCAUAAUCUUAUGCUACAUCGGACAGCAUAACAUAUCCCUCCAGCCUCUGCUUAGCAGACAGAUCACCAUCAUAAUUUUCCUGGACAUUGCUAAGAACAUCAUUUGUGUCUACUGCUGAAAUCAGGUGCUUGAAUUGUAUUAUCUUCAGUAGCCUGGUCUUUUAAUAGUUUGUAAUAUAAAGAAAUCAUGGUGGUGGCUUUGCUAAAAUAUGUCUGAGAACUCCUGUGGUGAACUGCCAAUACAAAAUACUCUAAGCACUCCUGAGCAUAACACUGUCCUCAUCGCAAGCAAUUUUCUACCUGAAAGUUUACUGAAUAUGAAAUGUAUACCAAAAUCUGAGGUCAAAAAAUUAAAGAAAGAAGUAGGAUAUAAUUUAUCUUUUUUCCUACUUGACAUUGCAUUACGAUACGAUUGAGACAGCUGUAAAGCUCACCUAAAGAUUAAGUUCAUACAAUUUGCAUAUAUUAUUUUAAAGCGGUGCCCUCUUGCAAAUAUACAUCCAAUUUCCAGCUGAUCUGAGAACAGUUUAUUUUACACAUACACAGGUAUGAGAUAUUUUGCCUGUCAAUCUCUGGAAUUUUAAAUCACCAGCAGGCUAAAUUUACAAUAAAGGUAAGCUCUACGUUAAAAGGUUUUAUAAUAGAAUCCUAUCAAUUUUCCUAAGUUUUCUUUGACAUAACAUAUAGCUUGAAUAUGGCCUAAAUGUUAUACAUUUCCUUUGUGAAACAAUCUAACCUAACACACGUACAGAUUUGUGGGUCUGCUACCAAUUCUACUAAAUGAACUAUCUUUGUUGCUGUUUUCUAAAUUAUACUAUUUUGAGACAAGAUAUCACAACAGUGGGAUUAACACUAAACAGAGACUUAGUACGCAUAUCAAGUCAGAGAUCCAUCAAGCUUAACAGAAAUAUUUUAGAGCCUUUCUAAUUUGGGGGAAAAAAAAUAAAGCUUAUCUC